UUGCCUACGGGGGGCAGCAGUGAGGAAUAUUGGUCAAUGGGCUUACGCCUGAACCAGCCAAGUCGCGUGAGGGAAGACUGCCCUAUGGGUUGUAAACCUCUCUUGUCAGGGAGCAACGCCGGCUACGUGUAGCCGGACUGAGAGUACCUGAAGAAAAAGCAUCGGCUAACUCCGUGCCAGCAGCCGCGGUAAUACGGAGGAUGCGAGCGUUAUCCGGAUUUACUGGGUGUAAAGGGAGCGUAGGUGGCAUGGUAAGCCAGAAGUGAAAACCCGGGGCUCAACCCCGCGGAUUGCUUUUGGAACUA
rnacentral:rRNA from 1 species